rnacentral:pre_miRNA from 1 species
AGUGCUUUCAUCUGGGAUCUUGUUAAAAGGCAGAUUCUGAUUCAGAAAGUCUGGAGUAGGGCCCAAGAUCCUGCAUUUCUAACAAGCUUCUGGAUGACAUCGAU